CCUACGGGUGGCUGCAGUGAGGAAUAUUGGUCAAUGGACGAGAGUCUGAACCAGCCAAGUAGCGUGAAGGAUGACUGCCCUAUGGGUUGUAAACUUCUUUUAUAUGGGAAUAAAAUGUUCCACGUGUGGGAUUUUGUAUGUACCAUAUGAAUAAGGAUCGGCUAACUCCGUGCCAGCAGCCGCGGUAAUACGGAGGAUCCGAGCGUUAUCCGGAUUUAUUGGGUUUAAAGGGAGCGUAGGUGGAAUGUUAAGUCAGUUGUGAAAGUUUGCGGCUCAACCGUAAAAUUGCAGUUGAAACUGGCAGUCUUGAGUACAGUAGAGGUGGGCGGAAUGCGUGGUGUAGCGGUGAAAUGCUUAGAUAUCACGAAGAACUCCGAUUGCGAAGGCAGUUCACUGGACUGCAACUGACACUGAGGCUCGAAAGUGUGGGUAUCAAACAGGAUUAGAUACCCUUGUAGUC
rnacentral:rRNA from 1 species